GACGAACGCUGGCGGCGUGCUUAACACAUGCGAGUCGAACGGUGAAGCCCUUCGGGGUGGAUCAGUGGCGAACGGGUGAGUAACACGUGAGCAACCUGCCCCUGGCUCUGGGACAACCACUGGAAACGGUGGCUAAUACCGGAUACGACCCGCCUCGGCAUCGAGUGUGGGUGGAAAGUUUUUCGGCUGGGGAUGGGCUCGCGGCCUAUCAGCUUGUUGGUGAGGUGAAGGCUCACCAAGGCGACGACGGGUAGCCGGCCUGAGAGGGCGACCGGCCACACUGGGACUGAGACACGGCCCAGACUCCUACGGGAGGCAGCAGUGGGGAAUAUUGCACAAUGGGCGAAAGCCUGAUGCAGCGACGCCGCGUGAGGGAUGACGGCCUUCGGGUUGUAAACCUCUUUCAGCUCCGAAGAAGCGAAAGUGACGGUAGGAGCAGAAGAAGCACCGGCUAACUACGU
rnacentral:rRNA from 1 species